CUAGGGGGCCACAGAGACGGCCGCAGCGCUCCCUCCUCUGGUCCUUCCGCUCGCGGAGUUUUUUCUUUUACGAAUGAGCGGAUGCCAGUGACAAGUUAAUAGCUCUCCUGAUCUUAGGUUAAAUGGAGUCUCAUUCCUGCCCAAGUCUCCUUCCACCGAUCUGCCCAGGCCGCAGGGGCAGGGGCCGGGAUUGCGUCUGCCAUUCGACGGAGGGGCGGAGGGCUCGAAGCUCCCCGGUUGCCUCCCAGCCCGGCUUCGGCCCCGCCCAUACUACUGGUUGCUGACCCUGGGCCCCAGGCCCGCGUCUACCUGCCCUCCGCUUUGACGUGCAUUCGCUUCCUCUCCUACCCGGCCAGCUACUCUCCCGGCGCAGCUUCCUCCUACGCAAGUGUGCACACUCACUCUGCAUCCCACACUAGAAUCAACCCGAACCCUGCGUUGGGCCCUGGAGCUGGCGGAUCAAUCGUGGGAACCGGGCAGCGCUCCCCCGCCCAGUCCCUGUCCCCGGUGUCAUCCAUCUCCCCUCCCUUCGGCCGCCCAGACUUCAAAAGCGGCCUGGCUGCUGGAGGUCCUUCCGCCGGCGACGCAGAUUGCUGGCGGCCCAGGAGCCGGCGGGAGCCGGGUGGGCGCGGGGGCCCAGACGGGCCUCAGCCGCAAGCGCCCAGCCGCAGGGGCCUGUUUUCCCCCGUGCGUGGGAGCUUUCCGAGAAGUUCGGUCACCCCUCAUUGAUAGGCUCUAAUCCUCGGAUCGGAACUGCUUCUGCCUGGAAGAUUUGGACGCCUUUUCCUUUGCUCUCCACAUUCCUGAAAAGCCGAUUCGUUCUGAGCCGCAUUGAUGACUGGGGGAGGAGGGCUGCUUCCAACUCUGGCACCACCUGGGUGGUCGCUGUGACCAAGUGAUUCCUUUUCAACCCUUCUUUUCCUCGACUCUAUAAAAGCCAUUUUGCAGAGAAUAAAGAUGCUGAAGUAGUCUA